rnacentral:misc_RNA from 1 species
UUUCCGUAGGUGAACCUGCGGAAGGAUCAUCAACGCAUCUCUGACGGAGGAGGCGCGCCCUGCUCCGGACGGAAAGGCCGUGCAGCGGGCGCCCCCGAGUCGCACAACCAUCGCAAACCCACCGUGCACUCUUGGCGGCGAGGGGCGUAGCGCCCCGAGCCGGGUCGCAAACACCUCAUUUAAAACAGAAUGAUCAGCGGACCUGCGUGCCGCCUAAACUUAAACAACUUUCAACAACGGAUCUCUUGGCUCUC